AUGCACGCUGGCGGCGUGCCUCAUACCUGCAAGUCGAGCGAACAGACGAGGAGCUUGCUCCUUUGACGUUAGCGGCGGACGGGUGAGUAACACGUGGAUAACCUACCUAUAAGACUGGGAUAACUUCGGGAAACCGGAGCUAAUACCGGAUAACAUGUUGAACCGCAUGGUUCAACAGUGAAAGACGGUCUUGCUGUCACUUAUAGAUGGAUCCGCGCCGCAUUAGCUAGUUGGUAAGGUAACGGCUUACCAAGGCAACGAUGCGUAGCCGACCUGAGAGGGUGAUCGGCCACACUGGAACUGAGACACGGUCCAGACUCCUACGGGAGGCAGCAGUAGGGAAUCUUCCGCAAUGGGCGAAAGCCUGACGGAGCAACGCCGCGUGAGUGAAGAAGGUCUUCGGAUCGUAAAACUCUGUUAUUAGGGAAGAACAAAUGUGUAAGUAACUAUGCACGCCUUGACGGUACCUAAUCAGAAAGCCACGGCUAACUACGUG
rnacentral:rRNA from 1 species